UUGGAGAACUAGAACAAAAAGAUGCUGAUCAAGUGGCCGAGCUCAUUGGCACACCAGCCUGCAACCCAACAUGCCUACUACAUGGCCGCGCAGGACACACGGGACAAGAUAUGAGCAUGUAGCUUGCUGGCAACCGUCCUCCAUAAGGGUGUUUCAGGGACAGCGACAGUGCAAAAUAAUCCACCUACUGAUGAGAUCUCUCAGAUUUCUAGCUGCCUGAAUAACACACCUACUGAUGAGAUCUCUCAGCUUUCUAGCUGCCAGGUAAGUCAAGCUUCAGAUGCGUCAGGCCCGGAUGAAGUGUUUCGUAGGCCCUGUAGGAACCGGUGUUCCGUAAUCCCUAAACUGCGCCCUUGACACCGACACUCGAAAACUUGUAAGUUUUAUAUCCAAUGAACUUUAACAGGUUAGGUUUUAACAUUC